rnacentral:tRNA from 1 species
CCCUCGAUAGCUCAGUUGGCAGAGCGGAGGGCUGUAGAUGUUAAACUGUGAUCCUUAGGUAGCUGGUUCAUAUCCGGCUCGAGGGA